rnacentral:rRNA from 1 species
CGGUCCUGAGUAAAGUGGCGCACGGGUGAGUAACGCGUAGAUAACCUGUCUUCAUGUCUGGAAUAAUACGCCGAAAGGGGUACUAAUACCGGAUAUUCUUGCUUUUCAUAAGUUAUGCAAGCAAAGGUAGCCUCUGCAUAUGCUACUGCAUGAAGAGGGGUCUGCGUACCAUUAGCUAGUAGGUGGGGUAAUGGCCUACCUAGGCGACGAUGGUUAGCGGGUCUGAGAGGAUGAUCCGCCACACUGGCACUGGAACACGGGCCAGACUCCUACGGGAGGCAGCAGUGAGGAAUAUUGCGCAAGUGGGGGAAACCCUGACGCAGCGACGCCGCGUGAGUGAAAGGGAAGGCCUUCGGGUCGUAAAGCUCUGUCAAGAGGAAAGAAGUGUACAAUGGCUAAUACCUGUUGUUAUUUGACGGUACCUCUAAAGGAAGCACCGGCUAACUCCGUGCCAGCAGCCGC